ensembl:snRNA U6 U6 spliceosomal RNA
AUGCUCACUUGGCAGUACAUAUAUUAAAAUUGGAACAAUACAGAGAUAAGUAUGGCCCUUACACAAAGAUGACAUGAAAAUUCUUGAAGCAAUCAUAUUUUGG